rnacentral:misc_RNA from 1 species
AAGUCGUAACAAGGUCUCCGUUGGUGAACCAGCGGAGGGAUCAUUAAAGAGUUGCAAAACUCCCAACCAUUGUGAACGAACCUUUCUGCCCAGGCGAGCAGCGCUCUGUCGUUGCAAGCCGAAGGCAGUAAACUCUUAAUUCAGUGAAUGUCUGAGUUGCUUAUUUUAAUAAGUCAAAACUUUCAACAACGGAUCUCUUGGUUCUG